rnacentral:tRNA from 3 species
GGCGUGUUAGCUCAGAAGAGUAGAGCGCCGGCCUGUCACGUCGGAGGUCACGGGUUCAAGUCCCGUACACGUCGCCA